rnacentral:rRNA from 1 species
GAUGAACGCUGGCGGCGUGCCUAAUACAUGCAAGUCGAGCGAAUGGAUUAAGAGCUUGCUCUUAUGAAGUUAGCGGCGGACGGGUGAGUAACACGUGGGUAACCUGCCCAUAAGACUGGGAUAACUCCGGGAAACCGGGGCUAAUACCGGAUAACAUUUUGAACCGCAUGGUUCGAAAUUGAAAGGCGGCUUCGGCUGUCACUUAUGGAUGGACCCGCGUCGCAUUAGCUGGUUGGUGAGGUAACGGCUCACCAAGGCAACGAUGCGUAGCCGACCUGGGAGGGUGACCGGCCACAAGGGGACCGAGACACGGCCCAGACUCACACGGGAGGCAGCCGUAGGGAAUCUUCCGCAAUGGACGAAAGUCUGACGGAGCAACGCCGCGUGAGUGAUGAAGGCUUUCGGGUCGUAAAACUCUGUUGUUAGGGAGGAACAAGUGCUAGUUGAAUAAGCUGGCACCUUGACGGUACCUAACCAGAAAGCCACGGCUAACUACGUGCCAGCCGCCGCCGUAA